rnacentral:tRNA from 1 species
UGGGAGAUCGUCCAAGGGUAGGACACGAGACUUUGGAUCUCGGUAUCUAGGUUCGAAUCCUAGUCUCCCAGCAA